rnacentral:lncRNA from 1 species
UUUAUAUUUUCUCUAUGUACUACAUAAAAAGCCAUAUGCACAACCUAAAGAAGCACAAAUCUUCAUGAUGCACUUAAGAAAUUAGAAAAAGAAACAAAGAAACAUAUUAGACAAAGUUUAGGGUCAAAACUGAUAGACAUUUUGAAACUUCUGGUUUUAAUGAAACUUAAAAAUUGAGGAUGAAAAACGUAAUUUAGUAAAAAGAAAAAUCACAAAGAUAUGUAACCCUAGUAUCUCCAUUUACCCCGUCGCAUUCUACCCUAAUAUCCAGCCGUCACAC